UACGUAGGGUGCGAGCGUUAAUCGGAAUUACUGGGCGUAAAGCGUGCGCAGGCGGUUAUGUAAGACAGUUGUGAAAUCCCCGGGCUCAACCUGGGAAUUGCAUCUGUGACUGCAUAGCUAGAGUACGGUAGAGGGGGAUGGAAUUCCGCGUGUAGCAGUGAAAUGCGUAGAUAUGCGGAGGAACACCGAUGGCGAAGGCAAUCCCCUGGACCCUGUACUGACGCUCAUGCACGAAAGCGUGGGGAGCAAACAGG
rnacentral:rRNA from 1 species